UUUAUUCAAAAUCUGACUGAUCUUACAUAAGAUUUUGCUUGUGGAGUAUUUGAAUUACAGAGCUCUGUAAUUCUGUAUUAAAAAAAUAUAUAUGUAUAUAUGUGUGUGUAUAUAUAUAUAUAUACAUAUAUAUGUAUAUAUGUGUGUGUGAUAUAUAUAUGCGCAUAUAUAUAUAUAUAAAAUGCCCACUCCUGCAAUGUGGUGAAUGAUCAAUCUAUUCGGGGACCCACAGAAAACGGACCACAAGAAAAGUGAGCCCGGGACGUGUUUGGAAAGUAGAAGCGGGGAGAGGACAAAGGAAUGCUUCACAGAGUCAGAGAGCAAAAACAAGCAGUGCACACACAUCAAAGCCGGGUUUUAUGUUUUUCAUGGUUUUGCCCCAGCCCAGACCCUACUGUCUACAGGAGUCAGUGACAUCUACUGUCUGACCUAGGUGAUCAAUCCUCCACCGGCUUCUAAGAAAACACUUGCACACAAGUCUCCAGUCUUCUCCUAGAAUCCCCAGAGGGAAAGCCCAACUGGGAGUCAGCUGGCAAAAGAGAAAAGAUGGUUUGCAGAGUCUCAGUGUCAUCAAGUACAGUGCAGCAGGUCCCAAGAGGAUGACCAUUGGUUGACCAGCAAGCUGGAUGCAGGCAAUCAGAGACACCUCACCCUCUCCCCUGUCCUUGGAAUGUACAUUCUGCCCAUCAUUCCCACCCACGGAGAAAGCUGUUUCCAGGGACACAGCCUUGAGACAGUAAUGUGUUAUUAAGACCAUCUGGACUGUGUACAUGAUUGAACUCCAUUAAGGCCUUUGUAGAAACUCAAGAUUCUCUGCUGAUGGGUGUGGAGAUCUACUCAUCCUGCAGGGAUACAAGACAAACCUCAUAGUUCAGCCAGAUGGCAUGCCCCAGGUGUGAAGUUUCAAGCAUGAUUCUAUUCAAAUGUCAAAGGUUCCAGAACAAACUCCGCAUACCAGCCACACUGUCUUUGCUCCAGACCCGAAUUCUCUAGGGGGAGCUUGGAUUCCAUCUAGCAAAGUUCAUAAGCAACCCUCCAUCAAACAGAAGUAGGGAUCUCACUGAAUCUCUUUCUGCUUUUCA